UACGGAGGGCGCAAGCGUUGUUCGGAAUCACUGGGCGUAAAGCGCGUGUAGGCGGCUUGGCAAGUCGGGUGUGAAAUCCCGAGGCUCAACCUCGGAACUGCACUCGAAACUGCUUGGCUCGAGUCCCGGAGAGGGUGGCGGAAUUCCCGGUGUAGGGGUGAAAUCCGUAGAUAUCAGGAGGAACACCGGUGGCGAAGGCGGCUUCCUGGACCAAUACUGACGCUGAGGCGCGAAGGCGUGGGGAGCAAACAGG
rnacentral:rRNA from 1 species